rnacentral:rRNA from 1 species
AUUGAACGCUGGCGGCAGGCUUAACACAUGCAAGUCGAGCGGAGAGAGGUAGCUUGCUACUGAUCUUAGCGGCGGACGGGUGAGUAAUGCUUAGGAAUCUGCCUAUUAGUGGGGGACAACAUUUCGAAAGGAAUGCUAAUACCGCAUACGUCCUACGGGAGAAAGCAGGGGAUCUUCGGACCUUGCGCUAAUAGAUGAGCCUAAGUCGGAUUAGCUAGUUGGUGGGGUAAAGGCCUACCAAGGCGACGAUCUGUAGCGGGUCUGAGAGGAUGAUCCGCCACACUGGGGCUGAGACACGGCCCAGACUCCUACGGGAGGCAGCAGGGGGGAAUAUUGGACAAUGGGCGCAAGCCUGAUCCAGCCAUGCCGCGUGUGUGAAGAAGGCCUUAUGGUUGUAAAGCACUUUAAGCGAGGAGGAGGCUACUUUAGUUAAUACCUAGAGAUAGUGGACGUUACUCGCAGAAUAAGCACCGGCUAACUCUGUGCCAGCAGCCGCGGUAAUACAGAGGGUGCAAGCGUUAAUCGGAUUUACUGGGCGUAAAGCGCGCGUAGGCGGCUAAUUAAGUCAAAUGUGAAAUCCCCGAGCUUUAACCUGGGAAUUGCAUUCGAUACUGGUUAGCUAGAGUGUGGUAGAGGAUGGUAGAAUCCCAGGUGUAGCGGUGAAAUGCGUAGAGAUCUGGAGGAAUACCGAUGGCGAAGGCAGCCAUCUGGCCUAACACUGACGCUGAGGUGCGAAAGCAUGGGGAGCAAACAGGAUUAGAUACCCUGGUAGUCCAUGCCGUAAACGAUGUCUACUAGCCGUUGGGGCCUUUGAGGCUUUAGUGGCGCAGCUAACGCGAUAAGUAGACCGCCUGGGGAGUACGGUCGCAAGACUAAAACUCAAAUGAAUUGACGGGGGCCCGCACAAGCGGUGGAGCAUGUGGUUUAAUUCGAUGCAACGCGAAGAACCUUACCUGGCCUUGACAUAGUAAGAACUUUCCAGAGAUGGAUUGGUGCCUUCGGGAACUUACAUACAGGUGCUGCAUGGCUGUCGUCAGCUCGUGUCGUGAGAUGUUGGGUUAAGUCCCGCAACGAGCGCAACCCUUUUCCUUAUUUGCCAGCGAGUAAUGUCGGGAACUUUAAGGAUACUGCCAGUGACAAACUGGAGGAAGGCGGGGACGACGUCAAGUCAUCAUGGCCCUUACGGCCAGGGCUACACACGUGCUACAAUGGUCGGUACAAAGGGUUGCUACCUAGCGAUAGGAUGCUAAUCUCAAAAAGCCGAUCGUAGUCCGGAUUGGAGUCUGCAACUCGACUCCAUGAAGUCGGAAUCGCUAGUAAUCGCGGAUCAGAAUGCCGCGGUGAAUACGUUCCCGGGCCU